AAAAAAGGUAAGCUACUAAGAGCGAAUGGUGGAUGCCUUGACUGGUAAAGGCGAUGAAGGACGUACUAGACUGCGAUAAGCUACGGGGAGCUGUCAAGAAGCUUUGAUCCGUAGAUUUCCGAAUGGGGCAACCCAAUGUAUAGAGAUAUACAUUACCUAUAUAGGAGCGAACGAGGGGAAUUGAAACAUCUUAGUACCCUCAGGAAAAGAAAUCAAUAGAGAUUGCGUCAGUAGCGGCGAGCGAAAGCGCAAGAGGGCAAACCCAGUGCUUGCACUGGGGGUUGUAGGACUGCAAUGUGCAAGAGCUGAGUUUAGCAGAACAUUCUGGAAAGUAUAGCCAUAGAGGGUGAUAGUCCCGUAUGCGAAAAACAAAGCUUAGCUAGCAGUAUCCUGAGUAGGGCGGGACACGAGGAAUCCUGUCUGAAUCCGGGUCGACCACGAUCCAACCCUAAAUACUAAUACCAGAUCGAUAGUGCACAAGUACCGUGAGGGAAAGGUGAAAAGAACUGAGGUGAUCAGAGUGAAAUAGAACCUGAAACCAUUUGCUUACAAUCAUUCAGAGCACUAUGUAGCAAUACAGUGUGAUGGACUGCCUUUUGCAUAAUGAGCCUGCGAGUUGUGGUGUCUGGCAAGGUUAAGCAAACGCGAAGCCGUAGCGAAAGCGAGUCUGAAUAGGGCGCUUAGUCAGAUGCUGCAGACCCGAAACGAAGUGAUCUAUCCAUGAGCAAGUUGAAGCUAGUGUAAGAACUAGUGGAGGACUGAACCCAUAGGCGUUGAAAAGCCCCGGGAUGACUUGUGGAUAGGGGUGAAAGGCCAAUCAAACUUCGUGAUAGCUGGUUCUCUCCGAAAUAUAUUUAGGUAUAGCGUUGUGUCGUAAUAUAAGGGGGUAGAGCACUGAAUGGGCUAGGGCAUACACCAAUGUACCAAACCCUAUCAAACUCCGAAUACCUUAUAUGUAAUCACAGCAGUCAGGCGGCGAGUGAUAAAAUCCGUCGUCAAGAGGGAAACAACCCAGACUACCAGCUAAGGUCCCUAAAUCUUACUUAAGUGGAAAACGAUGUGAAGUUACUUAAACAACCAGGAGGUUGGCUUAGAAGCAGCCAUCCUUUAAAGAAAGCGUAAUAGCUCACUGGUCUAGUGAUUUUGCGCGGAAAAUAUAACGGGGCUAAAGUAAGUACCGAAGCUGUAGACUUGCGCACAACUUAGAUUAUUUAAGUUUAGAAUAUGAGAAACUAAGUUAUAUUUUUACUGAUUUUUAUAGAGUAAAGAUAGAAAUAAAACUUAGUAAAAUCAGUAAAAAUAUUCUUAGGCUAAAGUUAAGUAGUUUAAGUUGUGUGCAAGUGGUAGGAGAGCGUUCUAUUUGCGUCGAAGGUAUACCGGUAAGGAGUGCUGGAGCGAAUAGAAGUGAGCAUGCAGGCAUGAGUAGCGAUAAUUAAUGUGAGAAUCAUUAACGCCGUAAACCCAAGGUUUCCUACGCGAUGCUCGUCAUCGUAGGGUUAGUCGGGUCCUAAGUCGAGUCCGAAAGGGGUAGACGAUGGCAAAUUGGUUAAUAUUCCAAUACCAACAUUAGUGUGCGAUGGAAGGACGCUUAGGGCUAAGGGGGCUAGCGGAUGGAAGUGCUAGUCUAA
rnacentral:rRNA from 1 species